UUUAAAGUCUAACCUGCUCAAUGAUUAAUAUUAAAUAGCCGCAGUAUUUUGACUGUGCGAAGGUAGCAUAAUCAUUAGUUUCUUAAUUGGAAGCUGGAAUGAAUGGUUGGAUGAGAAAAUAACUGUCUCUUAUGUAUUUUAUUAGAAUUUUAUAUUUGAGUUAAAAAGCUUAAAUUUAAUAAGAAGACGAGAAGACCCUAUAGAGUUUUAUUUUAAUUUAAAUAUUUAAAUUAGGUUUAUAAUUUUAAUUAUUUUAGUUGAAGUUUUAUUGGGGUGAUAUAAAAAUUUAACUAACUUUUUAUUAUUAUAACAUUGAUUUAUGAUAACUUGAUCUUUUAUUAUGGAUUAUAAGAAUAAAUUACCUUAGGGAUAACAGCGUAAUUUAUUUGGAGAGUUCAUAUCGAUAAAGAAGAUUGCGACCUCGAUGUUGGAUUAAAGUUAAAUUUUGAUGCAGAAGUUAAAAUUUUAAGUCUGUUCGACUUUUGAAACUUUACA
rnacentral:rRNA from 1 species